rnacentral:lncRNA from 1 species
UUGCAAAUUGGGAAAUUACGCCAACAACUAAUGCAUUGAGGAAAUAUCCGAAGUAGAUGACAGAGAAGACAAAAUACCUAUUAUGUCCACAAUUGAAGGACUUAUUCAACUUGCACAAUUGCAAUUAUUGCAACCAAAAAGAAGAUAUUCCUAAAGUUUAUCUUCCACCUACUAUGGAAAAAGACAAAGAAGAAGAAGACAAAGAGCAAAAUGAAGACUAAAAGAGUUUUUCGUAAAAAGUCUUGUAAUUUUCAAAAACUGUAGUAUUUUAGUUUAGUCUUGUUAGGCUAGUAUUUUAGUCUUAUUAGGCUAGUAUUUUUGAAGAAAAGUGUUUGUCAUGUUAGGCUAGUAUUUAUUUCAAGAAAAGUGUAGUAUUUUUAGGCUAGAAAAGUCUUUAUCUUGUUAGGCUAGUAUUUAUUUAUUUCAAGAAAAAUCUUGUAAAUAGUAGGAAAAGUUUUAUGUAAAGAUGUAACGUGUCAUAGUGAGUCAGCAAAGAGAUAAGAAGGAAUAAUUUGGGUGGAUGAUGGGGCCAAUGAGCACCCGCACUCUAAUUAUUACCCUCAAUCCUUUGCCUAUAUAUAUAGGACUUUGU